rnacentral:rRNA from 1 species
UACGUAGGUGGCAAGCGUUGUCCGGAUUAUUGGUUAAGGUGCGUAGGCGGCCUUGUAAGUCAGUGGUGAAAUACUCUAGCUAACUAGAGGGUGCCAUGAUACUGCAGGCUUGAGUACAGAUGAGGUAGGCGGAAGUUGACGGUGUAGCGGUGAAAUGCAUAGAUAUCGUAAGAACACCUAUAGCGAAGGCAGCUACUGGCUGUAACUGACGCUGAGGCACGAAAGUGUGGGAGUCAAACAGG